GAAAAAAACUGGGUCGGAUCAUGCUAAAAGGAGAUAAUAUUACUUUGCUACAAAGUGUGUCCAACUAGAAAUGAUGAAUGAAAUGAGAAAUUAUUGAGAGAG